GGUACUCGGCACUUCCUGGAGAAGCCCCAGAUGUGACCAUCUGACUUUCCAUGUCCUGGUCCAGUCCAGGAGAGACCACCGGUGUGUGUGACCACUGCUCAGGAAGACUCUGGCAGAUGCAGCUACCAAAGAUUCUAAAUCCCAGGUGGGUUGGUCUGGGUACUGGCUGGUGGGGAAGGGUCCCCUCUUAUGAGUUUGUGAUCAGGAAAUUACAGUCAGAAGAAAAGGGUGGAGAGCAGAUAGUGGGUCAGGAUUGAAGUAGAAACUAGAUGGAGAGCUAUAUACCGAAGCACGUAUGUCUCUUAGAAAACAUGAAUCAGUGGCUCUGCCAACCAAGCUCUGGCUU
rnacentral:lncRNA from 1 species